rnacentral:rRNA from 1 species
GUCGAGCGGUCCGGCUUCGGCCGGGCAGCGGCAAAUGGGUUAGUAACACGUAGGAACAUACCCCACUCACAGGGAUAAGCCGUCGAAAGGCGGUCUAAUACCUGAUGUUCCCGAAAGGGCAAAGGUUUAGAGUAAUCUAUUCCGGAAUGGGAAUGGCCUGCGGCCUAUCAGCUUGUUGGUGAGGUAACGGCUCACCAAGGCUAUGACGGGUAGGCGGUGUGAGAGCAUGACCGCCAACAGGGGAACUGCGACAUGGUCCUCACUCCUACGGGAGGCAGCAGUCGAGAAUCUUCCACAAUGGGCGCAAGCCUGAUGGAGCGACGUCGCGUGCAGGAUGAAGGCCUUCGGGUCGUAAACUGCUUUUGGGGAGGAAGAAGUCGCCUUUGGCGACUGACGGUACUCCCAGAAUAAGGGGCCGCUAAUUUCGUGCCAGCAGCGGCGGUAAUACGAGAGCCCCGAGCGUUAUCCGGAAUUAUUGGGCGUAAAGGGUCCGUAGGCGGCUUUGUUAGUCUCCUGUUAAAUUUCAGGGCUUAACCCUGAACCCGCGGGGGAAACGGCAAAGCUCGAGAGCGUGAGAGGCUAGAGGAACUCAUGGUGUAGGGGUGAAAUCCGUUGAUAUCAUGGGGAACACCAAAGGCGAAGGCAUCUAGCUGGCGCGACUCUGACGCUGAGGGACGAAAGCGUGGGGAGUGAAUGGGAUUA